CACGGUCCAGACUCCUACGGGAGGCAGCAGUGGGGAAUAUUGCACAAUGGGCGCAAGCCUGAUGCAGCCAUGCCGCGUGUGUGAAGAAGGCCUUCGGGUUGUAAAGCACUUUCAGUCGUGAGGAAGGCGGUGUAGUUAAUAGCUGCAUCGUUUGACGUUAGCGACAGAAGAAGCACCGGCUAACUCCGUGCCAGCAGCCGCGGUAAUACGGAGGGUGCGAGCGUUAAUCGGAAUACUGGGCGUAAAGCGCAUGCAGGUGGUUUGUUAAGUCAGAUG
rnacentral:rRNA from 1 species